CUUUCUGCGCGGCCCGGGGCGCUGGGGCGCGGCGGUGGGGAUGCGGGGCGCCCUGCGGCGGGUGCCCCUCUCGGCGGGUGCCCCUCUCGGCGGGUGCCCGGCGGCGGGGGCGGUGCUGCCGGUGGCUCUGUGGCUUGUGAGCGGUUCCGUCCGUGCCGCAGCGGUAGCUUGGGCCGCCGGGCGCUCCGGCAGCGGCAGGGCGGUGGCUGGCGGCCCGGGGAGCGAUGCACUCGGCCUCAGAGCUGCUGCCGCUGCCUCCCGAGGCAGCUCCUUCGGCAGAGCAUGUGCGCGCCCGAGCAGCAGAGCGGUUCCCCGUUUCUCUCACAGGGGUUAGAACUGCUCUCUGCUGUUCAGCGGCAGAGGGGUUGGAGCUGGAUGAUAUUUAAGGUCCCUUCCAACCCAAACCAUGCUAUGAUUAUAAAUCCAAUUCUGGCAGCACAAAACAAUAACUAUAAGCUGAGGAACUGAAGGGGCGGGUCGCUGGCACCGUUCCCUUAACGGCGUAAGGCAUCACUUAAAAGGCAGCAAGUGAAGUUAUGAGUUUGUUACAAGGUUUGGGAAUCAUCAGUCUGGACUCUGCCAUGCUGUUGCCUUGCAAGCAGAAAGAUGUCAUGUCAAUUCUGGAGCUACAGAAGUGCUGUGACAUCAGAUGACCUUCUCCACUGUCUCCAAACCCUGUGUAUGCACAUACAGCCAACAGCAGACUGCAUCCACCUCUAGAAGAAUGGGUGUUUAAGGUGCUUGAACACAGCAGCCUGAAAUGUGGAGUUCUAAUGCACUUGGAAAUGCUUUCCUGGCCCUUCCUGUUCCUCAGAAAUAUGGCUUGAUUCAACAGCAAGGAGGGAAGUCUGCCAGCAUGAAGGACAGCACUGACUGUGUGGCAAAGUCAACUGAAAGACCUGACACAAGUCUUCAGUGCAACUUCUGGACUUUGAUUUGACAUGAACUAUUAUUGCAAUCAAUUGAUACAAACUUUUUUCAAACUGACAAAAUCUGAAAACUCUGUACCCAAGACUAAAGACUGAGUUGCAUUAUUUACCGUGUUUUAGGGUCAGAGAUGAUUCAAGUAACAAGACGGCAAUCAACGCAUCUUCUUCAAGUACUUUCUUUCUUAGACUUAGUUUAGCAUGAGCCUUAGACAGUGAAAUCCUGACACAUGAAUACAAGCAUGUCAGAAAUAAAUAUUGCGGACAUGAA
rnacentral:lncRNA from 1 species